rnacentral:rRNA from 1 species
AGCGAACGCUGGCGGCAGGCUUAACACAUGCAAGUCGAGCGGGCGUAGCAAUACGUCAGCGGCAGACGGGUGAGUAACGCGUGGGAACAUACCUCUUGGUUCGGAACAACACAGGGAAACUUGUGCUAAUACCGGAUAAGCCCUUACGGGGAAAGAUUUAUCGCCGAGAGAUUGGCCCGCGUCUGAUUAGCUAGUUGGUAGGGUAAUGGCCUACCAAGGCGACGAUCAGUAGCUGGUCUGAGAGGAUGAUCAGCCACAUUGGGACUGAGACACGGCCCAAACUCCUACGGGAGGCAGCAGUGGGGAAUAUUGGACAAUGGGGGCAACCCUGAUCCAGCCAUGCCGCGUGAGUGAUGAAGGCCCUAGGGUUGUAAAGCUCUUUUGUGCGGGAAGAUAAUGACGGUACCGCAAGAAU